CGCAGCCGCGGUAAUUCCAGCUCCAAUAGCGUAUAUUAAAGUUGUUGCAGUUAAAAAGCUCGUAGUUGAAUUUCGGGAUCAAGUCGUCGGUCGUGCCUCGGUACGCACUGGUGACAUUGGUUUCUCCCUUCUGAAGAACCUUGAUGUCAUUAAUUUGGUGUCUUGGGGAAUCAGGACUGUUACUUUGAAAAAAUUAGAGUGUUUAAAGCAGGCUCACGCUUGAAUACAUUAGCAUGGAAUAAUGAAAUAGGACGUUUGAUUCUAUUUUGUUGGUUUCUAGGAUCGACGUAAUGAUUAAUAGGGAUAGUUGGGGGCAUUAGUAUUCAAUUGUCAGAGGUGAAAUUCUUGGAUUUAUUGAAGACUAACUACUGCGAAAGCAUUUGCCAAGGAUGUUUUCAUUAAUCAAGAACGAAAGUUAGGGGAUCGAAGACGAUCAGAUACCGUCGUAGUCUUAACCAUAAACUAUGCCGACUAGGGAUCGGAUGAUGUUAAUUUUUUUAAUGACUCAUUCGGCGCCUUA
rnacentral:rRNA from 1 species